AGCUUUGCGCAGUGGCAGUAUCGUAGCCAAUGAGGUUUAUCCGAGGCGCGAUUAUUGCUAAGAAGUGAUAUUGUCAAUGGACAUCUGAAAAAGCACUCAGCAUCACGAAUUGUCAUGGAAAUGUGAAUUAAAACUGCAAUGGGGUA
ensembl:snRNA U4 U4 spliceosomal RNA